rnacentral:rRNA from 1 species
GACGAACGCUGGCGGCGUGCCUAACACAUGCAAGUCGAACGAAGUGGCGAACGGGUGAGUAACGUGUAAACAACCUGCCCUUCAGAGGGGGACAACAGUUGGAACUGACUGCUAAUACCUCAUACUGAAGGAGGGGAAUGAGUCGGAUUGGCUAGGUGGAGGGGGAACGGCCCACCAAGGCGAUGAUGAGUAGCCGGCCGUAUGGGUUUGACGGCCACAUUGGGACUGAGACACGGCCCAGACUCCUACUGGAGGCAGCAGUGGGGAAUCUUCCGCAAUGGACGGAAGUCUGACGGAGCAACGCCGCGGGAGUGAUGACGGCCUUCGGGUUGUAAAGCUCUGUUGAUCGGGACGCGGUACCGGAAUAGAAAGCCACGGCUAACUACGUGCCAGCAGCCGCGGUAAUAC